UUCAAAAAAGCCAAUAAUUGA
rnacentral:piRNA from 1 species